rnacentral:rRNA from 1 species
GACGAACGCUGGCGGCGCGCCUAACACAUGCAAGUCGAACGAGCGAGAGAGAGCUUGCUUUCUCGAGCGAGUGGCGAACGGGUGAGUAACGCGUGAGGAACCUGCCUCAAAGAGGGGGACAACAGUUGGAAACGACUGCUAAUACCGCAUAAGCCCACGGCUCGGCAUCGAGCAGAGGGAAAAGGAGCAAUCCGCUUUGAGAUGGCCUCGCGUCCGAUUAGCUAGUUGGUGAGGUAAUGGCCCACCAAGGCGACGAUCGGUAGCCGGACUGAGAGGUUGAACGGCCACAUUGGGACUGAGACACGGCCCAGACUCCUACGGGAGGCAGCAGUGGGGAAUAUUGCACAAUGGGGGAAACCCUGAUGCAGCGACGCCGCGUGGAGGAAGAAGGUCUUCGGAUUGUAAACUCCUGUUGUUGAGGAAGAUAAUGACGGUACUCAACAAGAAAGUGACGGCUAACUACGUGCCAGCAGCCGCGGUAAAACGUAGGUCACAAGCGUUGUCCGGAAUUACUGGGUGUAAAGGGAGCGCAGGCGGGAAGACAAGUUGGAAGUGAAAUCCAUGGGCUCAACCCAUGAACUGCUUUCAAAACUGUUUUUCUUGAGUAGUGCAGAGGUAGGCGGAAUUCCCGGUGUAGCGGUGGAAUGCGUAGAUAUCGGGAGGAACACCAGUGGCGAAGGCGGCCUACUGGGCACCAACUGACGCUGAGGCUCGAAAGUGUGGGUAGCAAACAGGAUUAGAUACCCUGGUAGUCCACACUGUAAACGAUGACUACUAGGUGUUGGAGGAUUGACCCCUUCAGUGCCGCAGUUAACACAAUAAGUAAUCCACCUGGGGAGUACGACCGCAAGGUUGAAACUCAAAGGAAUUGACGGGGGCCCGCACAAGCAGUGGAGUAUGUGGUUUAAUUCGACGCAACGCGAAGAACCUUACCAAGUCUUGACAUCCCUUGACGAUGCUGGAAACAGUAUUUCUCUUCGGAGCAAGGAGACAGGUGGUGCAUGGUUGUCGUCAGCUCGUGUCGUGAGAUGUUGGGUUAAGUCCCGCAACGAGCGCAACCCUUAUGGUCAGUUACUACGCAAGAGGACUCUGGCCAGACUGCCGUUGACAAAACGGAGGAAGGUGGGGAUGACGUCAAAUCAUCAUGCCCUUUAUGACUUGGGCUACACACGUACUACAAUGGCGUUAAACAAAGAGAAGCAAGACCGCGAGGUGGAGCAAAACUCAGAAACAACGUCCCAGUUCGGACUGCAGGCUGCAACUCGCCUGCACGAAGUCGGAAUUGCUAGUAAUCGCAGAUCAGCAUGCUGCGGUGAAUACGUUCCCGGGCCU